AUUUUGAGUCGUUCUUGAAUAUGUCUCCUUUGUAUUCAGAUAAUCCUGAUAUUCUACCGACAGGACGUCAGUAGGAUUUUCUUCGGUGUCUGCUUUUGGCUUCUGUUUGCUUUUGAGUCAGGCUUAUAGCUUGAUAGCAGGUCACUUUUGUUGAACCUUCAGAACCUGCUCUUUGGUUGUACUUUGUACAUUUUCCUUUAUGUCUAGUUAGUGCUCCAAAACUAUGAAUUAUAUUAACUCUUGUAUUAAGACAAUUCAGUUAUAUUAUGAAGUUAAUUUUGUUGUUA